CGGCUCGCUGGCGCGCGAAGUGGUGGUGGCGCUGCUGCCGCCGCUCCUGCUCAUCGUGGCGGUGCUGGGUUCGAUCCUGGGCGGGGUGGC
rnacentral:tRNA from 1 species